UGGCGGGAAGGUGAAAGGCGGCAAAAGCUCAAAUUUGAAACCCUCGGGAUUGUAAUUUGAAGAUUUGGCAUUGGAGAAAGCUAACCCAAGUUGCUUGGAAUAGUACGUCAUAGAGGGUGACAACCCCGUCUGGCUAACCGUUCUCCAUGUAUUGCCUUAUCAAAGAGUCGAGUUGUUUGGGAAUGCAGCUCAAAGUGGGUGGUAAACUCCAUCUAAAGCUAAAUACUGGUGAGAGACCGAUAGCGAACAAGUACUGUGAAGGAAAGGUGAAAAGAACUUUGAAAAGAGAGUGAAAUAGUAUGUGAAAUUGUUGAUAGGGAAGGAAAUGAGUGGAGAGUGGCCGAGGUUUCAGCCGCCCCUCGUGGGCGGUGUACUGCCGACGCCGAGUCAUCGAUAGCGAGACGAGGGUUACAAAUGGGAGCGCCUUUCGGGCGUUCUCCCCUAACCCUCCACACUGCCACCGACGACAUAAUCCACCCAUUUCACCCGUCUUGAAAACACGGACAC
rnacentral:rRNA from 1 species